AAGAGCCUGAUAAGGACUUGUUUGUAAUAUGCACCGCCACAAACUGCACCCCGCCAGCAUGACUCAAAGCAACAGGUCAUGAACAGGCUGAAACAUCAAGGGCUCAAAAAUUAAGCUAACACUAAAGUGAAAAAAAAAAUGCAGUUCCUUGAGUGUCCACUUGAGGCUGUGUCCAAGAGUGAGUCAAUCCCUAUAGAGCCCCAUUUUACAUCAGAAAUUAAUUCUUUAAAGCAGGGUACAAAAACAGUUUUGGUCUCUAUCGCUAAUUUCUCUAUUUAUGACAAUUGUACAGGUUGAAUUUUUAUAGGAUUCUGCUGUUUAAAUUGUAUUAAGUGACAUUUUUUAACAUUAUUAUUAUAUAAUUGAGUAAUGACUUUCUAAAAACAGACUGAAGUCUAACUUCCUCUGGGUUUGUUGUUCUCAGCGCUGUGUUCACACUGACGAGAUGUUGCUUCCUUCAGCUUGUUCAUGUUUCUCUCAGAGAAUCUAAAAUGUUUCAUUCAUACAUUUGUUUUUUUUCCCCUAAGCUCCUCCCUUUCCCACCGUUUGCUUUACCACCAUGCGGGGAAAGAGAAACCAUGUGGAGUCUCAAAGGUGUAGUUUCGUUGCAAUUAGAGUACAACUUUAAGAGGACCAACAGACUUUCAAAAACUGAAGAAAAUACUCUUAUCUUUGGUAUAAAAUACUUCUAUGGGCUGCAUAUCUAAAUGGAGAUAAGUCGCAGAAAUGGCUGCACUCGGUCGGAACAACAAUGGAGAGUGGGGAGGAUGUAAACUGAAGGAGAUGAUAUAUACACACUGUUUUCAGUGGAGCUGUUGCAGAUGAGCUAAGCCUCUGUGUUGCUGGGUAAAUGGAGAUGCACACUAACAUAUAGAGUGAUGUAAAGAUGUUGGUCCCCUUGCCAGCUCCAGUUCAGGACGGCUCUGUCAAUUGAACCAACUUUGACCCCGCCCCACCAACACCAGGUUCUAGUUGGUGGACAAAGUGUGUGUUCAGGGUUACUGUGUCAGGAGGAGGACACUACUACACUGAGAUUUAUGGACCAUCUGCCUCGUGACCCUGUUUGUUUACAGCGAGACCGUGCCAGAGUUGAUCGCUGUCUGCGUGGAGCACUAAAUAUAUCAUUAGCGAUGACAUGAAGUCAUGGUCAGCUGAGGUGUGACCUGCAGGUGAGCAGAUCCAGCACAGUUUCCUCGUCAAUUCUGACAGGACAAUAUCUGACCUAUCAGAGGGUAAAAGGCAAUAACCAGGUAACUGCCGUGGCAGGAAACCACAAUCCUGACUCCUAUGCAGAGGCAGUUGCAAAUAAAAUAUAUAUUUUUUAAAACGCUAGAAUUUGAAUUUGAGUGUAAAGCUUGAGUUCAGACUUGGACUGUCAAUAAACUGCAUAGCAAAACAGAUUAUUUGUCUGAUAUUUGCAUGAAGCUCUAGCGUAAGUUCAGUCAGGAAAACUUUAAUUGCCUUCUUUCUCAUUCUUCCCUUUUUGCACGCUAACUCAUGUUUUAACUCAUCCCCUUUUAAAUAUGAUUCUUUCUCUCCUUUAGUUUCUUCAUGCUGUUUUUUUGUGCGCCCCUCCUCCUCCCCAUUACCGCCAGUCUUCACAGAUUCAUCAUCCAUCAAUUCUUCACCCAUCCGGUCUAAUCAUUUAUCAGCUUUACCACCACCAGGGUCUGGACUCCAUGGGGGGGGAUUUAUUCUGUCCACGCUCAGAAACAUUCUCCAAACACAUCAACCUCCCCAUAGAGCCCGAGCGCCAAAGUAUUUCUGUCAAGUCACUUUUCCAUGUUAUUCACUGUAAUAAAUCAUUUUCUUAAUUCA